GCCCCUGUAGCGCAGUGGUACUUGGCGUAUGCGCAACGGCGUACGCGAAGCGCAAGAGCGCGCGUCCUUGGUAAGGACGAGGUCCCGAGUUCAAAUCUCGGCAGGGGCU
rnacentral:tRNA from 1 species